GUGCUCACUUUGGCAGCAUAUAUACUAAAAUUUGAACAAUACAAAGAAGAUUAGCAUGGCCCCUCCAAAAGGAUGACACGCAAAUUUGUGAAGCGUUCUCUAUUUUU